UACGAAGGGUGCAAGCGUUACUCGGAAUUACUGGGCGUAAAGCGUGCGUAGGUGGUUUGUUAAGUCUGUUGUGAAAGCCCCGGGCUCAACCUGGGAAUGGCAAUGGAUACUGGCAAGCUAAAGUGCGGUAGAGGGUAGUGGAAUUCCCGGUGUAGCGGUGAAAUGCGUAGAGAUCGGGAGGAACGACCAGUGGCGGAAGGCGGCUACCUGGACCAGCAUGACACUGAGGCACGAAAGCGUGGGGAGCAAACAGGG
rnacentral:rRNA from 1 species